CCUACGGGGGGCAGCAGUGGGGGAUAUUGCACAAUGGGGGAAACCCUGAUGCAGCGACGCCGCGUGGGUGAAGAAGUAUUUCGGUAUGUAAAGCCCUAUCAGCAGGGAAGAAAGAAGACGGUACCUGACUAAGAAGCCCCGGCUAACUACGUGCCAGCAGCGGCGGUAAUACGUAGGGGGCGAGCGUUAUCCGGAUUCACUGGGUGUAAAGGGAGCGUAGACGGCCGUGCAAGCCAGGAGUGAAAGCCCGGGGCCCAACCCCGGGACUGCUCUUGGAACUGUGCGGCUGGAGUGCGGGAGGGGCAGGCGGAAUUCCGGGUGUAGCGGUGAAAUGCGUAGAUAUCAGGAGGAACACCGGCGGCGAAGGCGGCCUGCUGGACCGCGACUGACGUUGAGGCUCGAAAGCGUGGGGAGCGAACAGGAUUAGAUACCCCAGUAGUC
rnacentral:rRNA from 1 species